GAGCGAAUGACGAGGAGCUUGCUCCUCUGAUUUAGCGGCGGACGGGUGAGUAACACGUGGGCAACCUGCCCUGCAGACUGGGAUAACUUCGGGAAACCGGAGCUAAUACCGGAUAAUCCAUUUUACUUCAUGGUGAAAUGUUGAAAGGCGCUUUCGCGCCACUGCAGGAUGGGCCCGCGGUGCAUUAGCUAGUUGGUGGGGUAACGGCCUACCAAGGCGACGAUGCAUAGCCGACCUGAGAGGGUGAUCGGCCACAUUGGGACUGAGACACGGCCCAAACUCCUACGGGAGGCAGCAGUAGGGAAUCUUCCACAAUGGACGAAAGUCUGAUGGAGCAACGCCGCGUGAGUGAUGAAGGUUUUCGGAUCGUAAAACUCUGUUGUAAGGGAAGAACAAGUACGUUAGGAAAUGAACGCACCUUGACGGUACCUUAUUAGAAAGCCACGGNUAACUACGUGCCAG
rnacentral:rRNA from 1 species